rnacentral:rRNA from 1 species
CCGGUUGAUCCUGCCGGACCUGACUGCUAUCUGAUUGGUACUAAGCCAUGCGAGUCGUUGUACAAUACAAGGCGAACUGCUCAGUAACACGUAGUUAACCUAACCUAUGGAUGGGGAUAACCUCGGGAAACUGAGAAUAAUACCCAAUAGAUCACAGUGCCUGGAAUGGCCUGUGAUUGAAAUGAUUUAUCGCUGUAGGAUAGGACUGCGGCCUAUCAGCUUGUUGGUGAGGUAAUGGCCCACCAAGGCUAUAACAGGUACGGGCUCUGAGAGGAGGGGCCCGGAGAUGGGUACUGAGACACGGACCCAGGCCCUAUGGGGCGCAGCAGGCGAGAAACCUUUGCAAUGUGCGAAAGCACGACAAGGUUAAUCCGAGUGUCUCCUGCUAAAGGAGUCUUUUGUCAGUUGUAGAAUCACUGGUGAAUAAGGGGUGGGCAAGUUCUGGUGUCAGCCGCCGCGGUAAAACCAGCACCUCGAGUGGUCAGGAGGUUUAUUGGGCCUAAAGCAUCCGUAGCCGGUUGCAUAAGUUUUCGGUUAAAUCUAUGCGCUCAACGUAUAGGCCGNCGAAAAUACUGUGCAGCUAGGGAGUGGGAGAGGUCACGGUACUCAAUAG